CAUCAGGCUUCUCUGGAAGCCACUAACACCACCAUAGGGGCAUUUG
rfam:Mesocricetus auratus contig181501, whole genome shotgun sequence.